rnacentral:lncRNA from 1 species
AACUCCUAUAAAAGGAUCAAGUUGGGUUAUUGUCACAAACACAACCAUCCAAACACCCAACAAAGAAAGAACGACCAUCUUCAACUUCAAGACCAACUCUUGAGUGUUGAUGAAGCUAAACUUUUAGCCGUUGUGGACAAAGCGAGAUCAACUCUUCCUAACCGAGGCAACAAAGGGUUUGUUGUUUUGACCGUCUAAAGUAAUGAAACACCCGUGGUAGCUUGGAGGAACAACUAACGUUGCCGAUCGCUGAUUAUCGCUAAUCAAGAGAAAAGGUUAGAAGGCUAAUCAGUAAAGCUUAUACUCCACUCGUAAAUCUGCAAUGUGAGUCAUUCCACUUUUAUAAACUCUUUUCUCACAGUUUGUGAGUCAUUCUCUUUUUA